GGACAUUUUAUCCAUAUAUGUAUAUAUAAAACUACACUUCAAAAUUCUCCUUUUCUAGAAACAGUCUUUUAAUUGUAAUCCUCCAAAUGAAAUGGCUACAAGGAGGGGUAAACAACCUUUUAACGUUGUACACGCCAUGGUCACAAGUAAACAAUUUCUGGGUAGUGGUGAGUACUGGGGAUUGAGCCAGGACUUCAUGCUCACCCACAGGCAUGGGCCCCGUUAGAGUGUUUGUUUUAAAGCUGCAAAGGGAACAACAACCAAACAAAAGCUUUUCUACAGCAGCUCUGUGAGUGCAGCCUGGAGCCAGGAUGGCAUCGGAAGCCAGGCAGGUGACGCUUCAUGGUCUCUCCUCAGGAGCCACUUCCCUCGAUGUCAACUCCUCCUCUCGGAAUGUUAUCAACAUUGUUGGCCUGCAUAAGAACCAGGAAGUAACAUGUGAAUGACUUAUGUGACUCUGAAACAUGGAAGGCUCAGCUCUACACACACAGCUGUCUCACACCUAACAAAGGGUCCAGUUGGAAGACAAAGAAACUUGAAACUCAUGGAUGUGCAAGGGCCUUUGUGAUGGUCCGUAUAUGCCUGACCCACGGAGGGGCGAUACUACGGGAUGUGGCCCUGUUGGAGUAGGUGUGUCACUGUGGGCAUGGGCUUUGAGACCCUCAUCCUAGCUGCCUGGAAGCCAGUAUCUGCUAGCAGCCUUCAGAUGAAGAUGUAGAACUCAGCUCCUCCUGUACCAUGCCUGCCUGGAUGCUGCCAUGUUCCUGCCUUGAUGAAAAUGGACUGAACCGGGUUGGGGAUUUAGCUCAGUGGUAGAGCGCUUGC
ensembl:lncRNA